rnacentral:rRNA from 1 species
UGGCAUGCUGCAGCUAUACAUGCAAGUCGAACGAGCUCUCCCAAAUUGAUUUUAUGCUUGCAUAAAUGAUUUUUGGAUUCGGAGCGAGUGGCGAACUGGUGAGUAACACGUGGGUAACCUGCCCCGAAGCGGGGGAUAACAUUUGGAAACAAGUGCUAAUACCGCAUAAUUAGUUGGAACCGCAUGGUUCCAACUUGAAAGAUGGCUCUGCCUAUGCACUUUAGGGAUGGACCCGCGCCGUAUUAGUUAGUUGGUGAGAUAAAAGCCCACCAAGACGAUUGAUACGUAGCCGACCUUGAGAGGGUAAUCGGCCACAUGGGGACUGAGACACGGCCCAGACUCCUACGGGAGGCAGCAGUAGGGAAUCUUCCACAAUGGACGAAAGUCUGAUGGAGCAACGCCGCGUGAGUGAUGAAGGGUUUCGGAUCGUAAAACUCUGUUGUUAAAGAAGAACAAGUGUUAGAGUAACUGUUAACACUUUGACGGUAUUUAACCAGAAAGCCACGGCUAACUACGUGCCAGCAGCCGCGGUAAUACGUAGGUGGCAAGCGUUGUCCGGAUUUAUUGGGCGUAAAGCGAGCGCAGGCGGUUUUGUAAGUCUGCUGUGAAAGCCCUCAGCUCAACUGAGGAAGUGCAGUGGAAACUACAAAACUUGAGUACAGAAGAGGAAAGUGGAACUCCAUGUGUAGCGGUGAAAUGCGUAGAUAUAUGGAAGAACACCAGUGGCGAAGGCGGCUUUCUGGUCUGUUACUGACGCUGAGGCUCGAAAGCAUGGGUAGCGAACAGGAUUAGAUACCCUGGUAGUCCAUGCCGUAAACGAUGAAUACUAGGUGUUGGAGGGUUUCCGCCCUUCAGUGCCGCAGCUAACGCAUUAAGUAUUCCGCCUGGGGAGUACGACCGCAAGGUUGAAACUCAAAGGAAUUGACGGGGGCCCGCACAAGUGGUGGGAGCAUGUGGUUUAAUUCGAUGCUACGCGAAGAACCCUUACCAGCUCUUGACAUCUUUCUGCCCAACCCAAGAGAUUGGGCGUUUCCCUUUCGGGGACAGAAUGACAGGUGGUGCAUGGUUGUCGUCAGCUCGUGUCGUGAGAUGUUGGGUUUAAGUCCCGCAACGAGCGCAACCCUUAUUAUUAGUUGCCAGCAUUUAGUUGGGCACUCUAGUGAGACUGCCGGUGAUAAACCGGAGGAAGGUGGGGACGACGUCAAAUCAUCAUGCCCCUUAUGAGCUGGGCUACACACGUGCUACAAUGGAUGGUACAACGAGUCGCGAAACCGCGAGGUCAAGCUAAUCUCUUAAAGCCAUUCUCAGUUCGGAUUGCAGGCUGCAACUCGCCUGCAUGAAGUUGGAAUCACUAGUAAUCGUGGAUCAGCAUGCCAGUGAUCCC